CACGGAGUUAGCCGGUGCUUAUUCGUUAGAUACCGUCAUUAUCUUCUCUAACAAAAGGAGUUUACAAUCCGAAAACCUUCAUCCUCCACGCGGCGUUGCUGCUUCAGGGUUUCCCCCAUUGAGCAAUAUUCCCUACUGCUGCCUCCCGUAGGAGUCUGGACCGUGUCUCAGUUCCAGUGUGUCCGUUCACCCUCUCAGGCCGGAUACCCGUCAUAGCCUUGGUGAGCCAUUACCUCACCAACAAGCUGAUAGGACAUAGACCAAUCCUUUAGCGAAAAACUUUCCCUCGUAAGGAGUAUCCAGUAUUAAUCAUCGUUUCCAAUGGCUAUCCUAGACUAAAGGGCAUGUUAUCUAUGCAUUACUCACCCGUGCGCCACUAAUCCACUCUAGCAAGCUAGAGCUUCAUCGUUCGACUUGCAUGUAUUAGGCACGCCGCCAGCGUUCACUCUGAGCCAGGAUCAAACUCU
rnacentral:rRNA from 1 species